CGACCGCUCUCUUUCCCUCUCCUCCCGAUGCGGCGCUGCCCCCAUCUCUUGCUCCUCCGCCGCCGCCGCCCCUGCUUCCCCGAUUCACACAUCUCACCCUCCCUCCUGCACUAGCAUCCGCCGCCGCCAGUGCGUUGGCUGCCUCCCUCCCCCAUCGCCGGCCACCUCUCGCCCCCAUAACCGGUCGCCGCCAGCCUUCCUUGCCGCCGGCGCCGCCGAUUCCUCAUCUUUUCUUCGUAGCCACAAUCUUCCCUCGCGUCCGGGCUCCUCCUCCUCCGCCGCCGCCCGAACAAUCGAUCCCCACCUAGCCGGGGAUGGAGGCGCGCGAGGACGUCAGCAGCAGGAACGGCGGCGUGGAGGCCUUCCUGGCGUCGUGCGCGGUGUCUGGCGACGACGCUUACGGCGCAGCCAGGGCCGUGCUCGAGCGCCUCCAGGCCCCCGCCACGCGCGCCGGGGCAAGGCGCCAUCCGUCGCCGCCUCGCCGACGACCCCGCCGCCGGGCAGGAGGAAUGCUUCCACGCCUUCAACCUCCGCAUCCACGACGUCGUCCUACAAGGUCGGCCCCCCAUCCUCCCCACUGCCCGACGAUGCCUCCCCUUCCUCCUGUGUCGCCUCCCUCGACCGUGUAGGCACGUCGACAUAACCUGGACGCCGUCACUGCAUUGAUCAUGUAGAUCAGGGCGCCUGCAACGUGACACAGCCGUUUUCUUCGGCCGAGCACUGAAAAGGGGCUGACGGCUGCAUCGCCAUGCCAUUUGUAGCUCAAGAUUUGUAAGCCGCACAAGGUCAUCUCUGCCGCUUCACUUCUGGUUCGCCUCUCUGCUCCUCCCAACGCAUCUAUCUCGUGAUUUCAAUAACUGAAGGGUUGAAGGUCAAGGUCGGCGACCUGUAUGUCCACAAGUUGUCCCAUGGCUGUUCACUGUGGGAUGUGAUGAGAGGUGAGGCCUCUUUGCCUGUUGAACAGGUGCAGGGCCUCCCGCUUAUUCCUACUUUCUUGCAGUCAAAGGACGGGGUUCGGUGAAACCAGAGCAAACUAAGGAUCCCAGCAAAGAAGGAAGCUAAUAAUGAUGGACAUACCUAGCAUUUUCGGCCCCGGAGAUAGGUCCAUCACUCUCUACGAGGGCAUAAAUCAUCAUCCAGAUCCAGAUUCCAUUUUCAGGAAUAAGACCGUCGCACAGCUGGGAUGUGGCAAUGGUUGGAUAUCCAUUGCGCUUGCAGAAAAAUGGUGCCCUUCCAAGGAUCCCAGCAAAGAAGGAAGCUAAUAAUGAUGGACAUACCUAGCAUUUUCGGCCCCGGAGAUAGGUCCAUCACUCUCUACGAGGGCAUAAAUCAUCAUCCAGAUCCAGAUUCCAUUUUCAGGAAUAAGAUUGUCGCACAGCUGGGAUGUGGCAAUGGUUGGAUAUCCAUUGCGCUUGCAGAAAAAUGGUGCCCUUCCAAGUUAAUUCAAGGAGGACCCUACAUCUAAAGAUCUUGGUUGCAAAAGUAUAUCAGGAAGAUCUUGGUUGCAAAAGUGAUCAGAUAUACUCCUCUGUACCAAAAUAUAAGACGUUUUUCUCAGUUCAAUUGAACUGCAAAAAUAUCUUAUACUUUCGUACGGAGGGAGUAAUAGUCAACACAACCAGGCGGGGGCACAUGCCAUUUUUUCUCCUUCACCAUGGACCCUGAAUUUGCUGAACUCUGGGCGUGUCGAUGGGCUGCUCAGCUUACAUGUGAACUGGACGUGGCAAAGCUUAUCCUGGAGACGAACUCAAAGCUAUGAAAAUUCAUGUAUACUGAUUAUCGAGCAUUAUGGGCAAGGGACGGGGGUACAAGGCAUGGUCUGCGGCGCCGCACCUUGUUGUUCCCUGCCGGUGGCGGGCGAGCUGCAGUGGCGCUUCUCUGUUGCGUGGCGAGGGACGGGGGCGGAAGGUGUGCAUCUGCAGUGCCACUCCUGGGGCAUGCCUCUCCGGCGACAUUGCCGGCGUACACAACAUACCUUCCUACACGGGGAUUUCAUCUCUGAACUAAAUAUUACGUCCGAAGACUGAAACAUCCAGAAGAUUUAUUGAGACUAUUCAUUGAUGGUCUUUCUCUACUACACGAGGAAGGCCUGAGGUAGACAAACAUAACAACUGAUGAAAGAAGAACAUAUUUGUACCUUGUUGCCCGCUGACUAUAUGCAUGGUUGAAUUGUAGUAUGUGUGAUACAUGAGAAUAAUGUAAUAUGAAGUGAAACAUGGUGGAUAGGGCUUCGUGAAUGAGCUGGCGGAGAAGAUGUCAGUGGUGGAAGCGGAGAUGUUAUAGAAGAUGUUGCGGGCGGUACCGGAGGAAAUGGCCAAAUGGGGUUCCUCGGAGCCGACAAGAAGGAUGCUGCAGCGGCACAUAUUGGUUUCCAUUUCCAUCCAGAGAAGAACUUAUGAACGAAGAGAUAUCCUAGAAGUUGAGUGCAGUUGGAGGGGCCUCAGUCCUUUUGAGCCAAGAAAAGUAGAUGGGGCAUGUCCAAGCUAUGAAUAGUAGAUGGGAAAGUGUUGAAAUAUUUUGUGUUUCCAUGGUUUGUAAAUGGUAGGAGGUAUAUGUAGUAACAUGUACGGUUUCAAGUGCCAAAUUUCAUGUGUAAAAGUUUGCUAGGGAAUUUUGAUUGUAGAAUCUUGGAAUAAGGGAACAAAAUCCUACAUGUGUCAUAUAUUUAAUUAAUGGAUAAUAACAACAGACAUGCUUUCAUGAGAUGAUUAAUCUUAAGCAUAGAAGGGCAUCCAUGUGCCACCUAUCAUUUGUAAUGCA